rnacentral:rRNA from 1 species
GAUGAACGCUGGCGGCGUGCUUAACACAUGCAAGUCGAACGAAGCAUUUAAGACAGAUUACUUCGGUUUGAAGUCUUUUAUGACUGAGUGGCGGACGGGUGAGUAACGCGUGGGUAACCUGCCUCAUGCAGGGGGAUAGCAGCUGGAAACGGCUGGUAAUACCGCAUAAGCGCACGGUAUCGCAUGAUACAGUGUGAAAAACUCCGGUGGUAUGAGAUGGACCCGCGUCUGAUUAGCUGGUUGGUGAGGUAACGGCCCACCAAGGCGACGAUCAGUAGCCGACCUGAGAGGGUGACCGGCCACAUUGGGACUGAGACACGGCCCAGACUCCUACGGGGAGGCAGCAGUGGGGAAUAUUGCACAAUGGGGGAAACCCUGAUGCAGCGACGCGCGUGAAGGAGAAGUAUUUCGGUAUGUAAAGCUCUGUCAGCAGGGAAGAUAAUGACGGUACCUGACCAAAGGAAGCCCCCGGCUAACUACGUGCC